CACAAAUUAUAUAACUUCUACAAUUGAUGCAGAGAGUCGCAUUACUGAAAUAAGGGAAGGUUCCACUGCAAUAGAUUACACCUAUACCUCUUCCGUGACAGAAUAUUUCGUGGCCAGUAACACGUCUGUCACCGAUUUAAACGGUAAUGAACUGCCUGGCGUCAUGGACCAAAUUGGUAAGAGUAGACUAUUCGCGAUAAAAGUAUUUUUCUUUGUUUUACAUUUUAAUAACUGCUAUUUCAUCCUUCAUAGAAAACUAUACCUUGCAAGAAUCAGCGUACUUUUCAUCACAAUCACAUGUAAGCAACACUAUCUCUACUAUCUCUACGCCAAGAGAGGAGCC